GUGGGGAAUCUUGCGCAAUGGGCGAAAGCCUGACGCAGCCAUGCCGCGUGAAUGAUGAAGGUCUUAGGAUUGUAAAAUUCUUUCACCGGGGACGAUAAUGACGGUACCCGGAGAAGAAGCCCCGGCUAACUUCGUGCCAGCAGCCGCGGUAAUACGAAGGGGGCUAGCGUUGCUCAGAAUUACUGGGCGUAAAGGGCGCGUAGGCGGACAGUUUAGUCAGAGGUGAAAGCCCAGGGCUCAACCUUGGAAUUGCCUUUGAUACUGGCUGUCUUGAGUUUGGGAGAGGUGAGUGGAACUCCGAGUGUAGAGGUGAAAUUCGUAGAUAUUCGGAAGAACACCAGUGGCGAAGGCGACUCACUGGCCCAAUACUGACGCUGAGGCGCGAAAGCGUGGGGAGCAAACAGGAUUAGAAACCCGGGUAGUCC
rnacentral:rRNA from 1 species